rnacentral:rRNA from 1 species
CGGAGGAAAAGAAACCCACCGUGGAUUGCCUUAGUAACGGCGAGUGAAGCGGCAAAAGCUCAAAUUUGAAAUCUGGUACCUUCGGUGCCCGAGUUGUAAUUUGGAGAGGGCAACUUUGGGGCCGUUCCUUGUCUAUGUUCCUUGGAACAGGACGUCAUAGAGGGUGAGAAUCCCGUGUGGCGAGGAGUGCGGUUCUUUGUAAAGUGCCUUCGAAGAGUCGAGUUGUUUGGGAAUGCAGCUCUAAGUGGGUGGUAAAUUCCAUCUAAAGCUAAAUAUUGGCGAGAGACCGAUAGCGAACAAGUACAGUGAUGGAAAGAUGAAAAGAACUUUGAAAAGAGAGUGAAAAAGUACGUGAAAUUGUUGAAAGGGAAGGGCAUUUGAUCAGACAUGGUGUUUUGUGCCCUCUGCUCCUUGUGGGUAGGGGAAUCUCGCAUUUCACUGGGCCAGCAUCAGUUUUGGUGGCAGGAUAAAUCCAUAGGAAUGUAGCUUGCCUCGGUAAGUAUUAUAGCCUGUGGGAAUACUGCCAGCUGGGACUGAGGACUGCGACGUAAGUCAAGGAUGCUGGCAUAAUGGUUAUAUGCCGCCCGUCUU